ensembl:lncRNA
GUUGAUGUUCGUCACCUUGGUUCUCUCAGAGGAAGAUGUUCCAUUGUUUUCUCCUUCAUUAUUCCUGAUGUGUUCUCUGUCUCCGGCACAUUUACAUUUUCCUCAGUGUAAACAGAGAGUGUUUGAAUUGGGUGUUUGAAUUAAUUGGACCAUCACAGAGUGUAAUUAAUCAGCUGGAGUGAAGCCGUGUCGUCGACUCCUAUGCAGCCUGUCUCUCCCUCACAGGUUUUGUGUGCACUGGAUUCGCUCCGUCUGUCAGCGGAGGGAUGGAAUGAAAGGAGAACAUUUGGAGAGAUAGCAGAGCGGAAGAAUAGAGAGAAAUUAAUUAUGCUGGGAAUGAAGGGUGACAGUGCCAGUUUUUGAAAGUGUUUAAUUGAACCCUUUUACACAUUUAACUAAGCCAACACAAGCACAUGACACUCGUCUGCCAGAGAGAGAGAGAGAGAGAGAGAGGGGCAAUGCACUAAAAGCUUGAGCCACUGUGACACGUGGUGUUUACGCAUACAAACUUGCAUCUUGUUCACUAAUCACCCGCAAUCCAUGUACUUAAACAGCACUUCAUCUCAAUGAAUUUAAAUUUGAAUUCUUUAUUAGAUUAUUACUGAUGCACAGUUAAACUCCCUUAAGUGCAGAUGUAUUGAAAAUAUUUGUGUGUGUGUGUGUGUGUGUCAGGUAGUGAUGCCACCGUUCUCCGUGUGUUUGGCUCUCAUCUUCUCACUGAUUGUUCCCCGUUUGUUGAAUAUCCCAAUCUGGAGCUUCGGCCCUGGAUGUGUGGAGCUUCACAGAAAACCUUCUAUAGUUUUGAUGAUCCUGGUUUCACCAGAAUUUGGGAUGCGCUGCAUGAGCACCAACCCCAUACCGGUGACGACUUCUACGGAUGUGGUGGUGUUGAUCUGCGUGUUCUUGCCAUGUCCUUCAUCCCGACCAGCUUCAUCCUCUUCCUCAUCCAGGAGCGCGUCAGUUCGUGAGCGUCAACCCCACCCUCUACUGGCUGGCCAGCUUCGCCUGAGACAUGGUACACCAGAAGCCCUUCUGCUCCGGAAGACGGAUGGGAUGGGGACAGGCACGCGAGAGCUAAAAAGAGGAGCUGAGAUAGCUAAUUAAAACUCUAUUAAAACUCUAUCAAUUUCCCGCUGAAUCCUGUUCUCUGCCUCCAUUGGUCCUGACAGCGAGACUCUCUUGUCAUGAGCUACAGUCUCAGCGGAGAGAGAUGAUUUCACCUUCCCUAAUAAAUCACUAAUAAAUCAAUUAGUGUCA